UGGAAGUAAAAGUCGUAACAAGGUCUCCGUUGGUGAACCAGCGGAGGGAUCAUUACCGAGUUUACAACUCCCAAACCCCAAUGUGAACGUUACCAAUCUGUUGCCUCGGCGGGAUUCUCUGCCCCGGGCGCGUCGCAGCCCCGGAUCCCAUGGCGCCCGCCGGAGGACCAACUCAAACUCUUUUUUCUCUCCGUCGCGGCUUCCGUCGCGGCUCUGUUUUACCUUUGCUCUGAGCCUUUCUCGGCGACCCUAGCGGGCGUCUCGAAAAUGAAUCAAAACUUUCAACAACGGAUCUCUUGGUUCUGGCAUCGAUGAAGAACGCAGCGAAAUGCGAUAAGUAAUGUGAAUUGCAGAAUUCAGUGAAUCAUCGAAUCUUUGAACGCACAUUGCGCCCGCCAGUAUUCUGGCGGGCAUGCCUGUCCGAGCGUCAUUUCAACCCUCGAACCCCUCCGGGGGGUCGGCGUUGGGGAUCGGCCCCUCACCGGGCCGCCCCCGAAAUACAGUGGCGGUCUCGCCGCAGCCUCUCCUGCGCAGUAGUUUGCACACUCGCACCGGGAGCGCGGCGCGGCCACAGCCGUAAAACACCCCAAACUCUGAAAUGUUGACCUCGGAUCAGGUAGGAAUACCCGC
rnacentral:rRNA from 1 species